rnacentral:lncRNA from 1 species
GCUGGUGGCAAAGGGUUUGCUGAGUCCCUAACAGAGAUGGUUUUUAAUUUGGGUCAUCAUUAGGAUCAGAGGAGGAGAAAGCAAGCAAAUCACUGCCCAAGUGUGUCACCCUCAUUCAGGUGUCAUGAAGGGCCUGGAAUCGUAGAAUGGUUGAGGAUCCAGGUGUGACAGCUGAGGCUCCAGAAAAUGGGAAUGCAACCAAACCAACCCAGAGGAGAGGCUACUUUUUCAGCACUAAAGGUGACUCACAAGCAGCAUAACUCUGGGAAAGUUAAAAGUGGUAAUUCAACAAGACUCAAGGAUUGUGUGGUACUCAAAAGGAUAAAAUAACCGUGCAGGGAGCUCUUCUUCCUCCAUGUCCUGCUGAUGAAUGAAACUGGAAAGCCAGAUCAGUUCAGAGAUGCUGAAAAAUAUGAUCACAUCUUCAUGAGCACCCAGGUAGGCUGAAAAUCACUGCCCUGCAAG